rnacentral:rRNA from 1 species
GACGAACGCUGGCGGCGUGCCUAAUACAUGCAAGUAGGACGCAGUUGCGAACGGGUGAGUAACGCGUCGGUAACUGCCUAUUAGAGGGGGCUAACUAUUGGAAACGAUACCUCAUACCGCAUACUAGUAGAUGGACCUGCGUUGUAUUGGCUAGUAGGUAGGGUAAUGGCCUACCUAGGCGACGAUACAUAGCCGAGCUGGGGGGGGUAUCGGCCAAACUGGGACCGAGACACGGGCCAGACCCCUACGGGGGGGAGGAGGAGGGAAUCUUCGGCAAUGGGGGGAACCCUGACCGAGCAACGCCGGGGGAGUGAAGGAGGUUUUCGGGUCGGAAAGGUCUGUUGUUAAGGAAGCGGUACUUAACCAGGAAGGGACGGCUAACUACGUGCCAGCAGCCGCGGUAAUAC